GACUUCGCAGGAGACCGCCACUCACGCGGAGCCAAUCGGAACUCGCGGCGGGGUUGCUGGGUCUUCCAGGAUCGCGCAUUAGCGGACGCUGGCUACGGGUGGCCGGGCGGGAUGUAACCGGCUGCUGAGCUGGCAGUUCUGUGUCCCCAGGCUUCGGCCCGGCCGCCGCCGCACAUAAACUGCGAGGAGGAGCUUUACGACUUCUCGGUCUUCGGGGCCGGGCGCAGCAAGGGCCAGACUCUGCGCUAGCAGGCGCUGCGCGCCAACCGGCCGGCCCCUGUCGCAGAAGGUGCAACCGAUCGCACUGUCGCGCAGAAGCUCCUCAAUGGCCAGCGCCAGCUGCAGCCCCGGCUGCCCACUCGCCUCACCUGAGCCUGGGUGGAACAAUCCAAAGUUUUAAUCAAAGAAGGUGGUAUUCAGUUGCUGCUUACAAUAGUUGAUACCCCAGGAUUUGGAGAUGCAGUGGAUAAUAGUAAUUGCUGGCAGCCUGUUAUCAAUUACAUUGAUAGUAAAUUUGAGGACUACCUAAAUGCAGAAUCGCAAGUGAACAGAUGUCAGAUGCCUGGUAACAGGGUGCACUGUUGUUUAUACUUCAUUGCUCCUUCAGGACAUGGACCGUUACAUAACUGAAGACUCCCACCUUCAGGCAGGAUUGGGUAGUACAUGUUUGUAACUACCUGGCAUUGCCUUUUGUUGAGACUUAAACCAUUGGAUAUUGAGUUUACAAAGCAUUUGCAUGAAAAAGUGAAUAUCAUCCCACUUAUUGCCAAAGCAGACACACUCAUGCCAGAGGAAUGCCAACAGUUUAAAAAACAGAUAAAGAAAUCCAAGAACAUAAAGUUAAAAUAUAUGAAUUUCCAGAAACAGAUGAUGAAGAAGAAAAAAAACUUGUUAAAAAGAUAAAGGACCAUUUACCUCUUGCUGUGGUGGGUAGUAAUACUAUCAUUGAAGUUAAUGGCAAAAGGGUCAUAGGAAGGCAGUAUCCUUGGAGUGUUGCUGAAGUUGAAAAUGGUGAACAUUGUGAUUUUACAGUUUUAAGAAAUAUGUUGAUAAGAACACACGCAGGACUUGAAAGAUGUUACUAAUAAUGUCCACUACGAGAACUAUGGAAUCAGAAAACUGGCAGCUGUGACUUAUCAUGGAGUUGAUAACAAGAAGAAUAAAGGGCAGCUCACUAAUAGAGACGGUAUUUCACCAUGUUAGCCAGGAUGGUCUUGAUCUCCUGACCUCGUGAUCCACCCGCCUCGGCCUCCCAAAGUGCUGGGAUUACAGGCAUGAGCCACCACGCCCGGCCAAGUGGAAUGAAUUUUCAAGAGCAUUGAAGUUACCAUAAGGGGCCUAGAAAUACUCUGUAUACCUAUAUAGUGCUCUAGGUAUUGACUAGUAGUGAUUUCCAGCAUAUCAGUUCAGUUACCAAAAUAAAUAAUAAUAUUGUUCAUUUUUGUGGUGUUAGUAGCUGUCUUAGAAGAGAUUGUAACACUUGAAAUUUUGGUAAAACUAAAAAUACUCUACAUACAUUAACUUCAUUACUCAUUUUCUGUUUUUCAUGUUAAAAUGUUGUUUAAAGAACAAAAUUAAAUGAUUUUCUUCUGAUAUUUUA
rnacentral:lncRNA from 1 species